rnacentral:rRNA from 1 species
AGAGUUUGAUCCUGGCUCAGGAUGAACGCUGGCGGCGCGCCUAACACAUGCAAGUCGAACGGGGUGGAAACACCUAGUGGCGGACGGGUGAGUAACGCGUGAGAAUCUGCCUUCAGGACGGGGACAACAGCGGGAAACUGCUGCUAAUACCCGAUGUGCCGCAAGGUGAAAGAAAUUCGCCUGAAGAGGAGCUCGCGUCAGAUUAGCUAGUUGGUAGGGUAAGAGCCUACCAAGGCGACGAUCUGUAGCUGGUCUGAGAGGAUGAGCAGCCACACUGGGACUGAGACACGGCCCAGACUCCUACGGGAGGCAGCAGUGGGGAAUUUUCCGCAAUGGGCGAAAGCCUGACGGAGCAACGCCGCGUGAGGGAGGAAGGCCUUUGGGUUGUAAACCUCUUUUGCUCGGGAAGAAGGCAGUGACGGUACCGAGCGAAUCAGCCUCGGCUAACUCCGUGCCAGCAGCCGCGGUAAUACGGAGGAGGCAAGCGUUAUCCGGAAUCAUUGGGCGUAAAGAGUCCGUAGGUGGCAACGCAAGUCGGCGGUCAAAGACCGGAGCUUAACUCCGGAGCGGCCGUGGAAACUGCGUAGCUAGAGUGCGUCAGGGGGUAGCGGGAAUUCCCAGUGUAGCGGUGAAAUGCGUAGAGAUUGGGAAGAACAUCGGUGGCGAAAGCGCGCUACUGGGCCGGAACUGACACUGAGGGACGAAGCUAGGGGAGCGAAAGGGAUUAGAUACCCCUGUAGUCCUAGCUGUAACGAUGGUAACUAGGCGUGCCUUGUAUCGAACCCGAGCCGUGGCGAAGCUUACGCGCGUUAAGUUCUG